UGCUGGUGCAUCUGUGAGGUGUUUGCAAGU
rnacentral:piRNA from 1 species